UCGGAAGGAAAAGCCCUCGGUGAUACCGGCUCUGGAAAGUUAGCCAAGAAGAAAAGAGAGCAGGCCCAGUCCUCUCUGUUGGAUCUGAUGGAUGUACCAGAGGGGGAUUCGUCCGACCCCUGGGGGGCGGGAGGAGCUGCCGCCCCACCAGAUCCCUGGCAGGCCUACGGUGCAGCCCCAAAACCAGUGGCUCCGGUCGACCCCUAGGGCCCACCGUCUCUCCUCUGUUGCCCCCAUGAAGAGCAGUGAUCCCUG